rnacentral:rRNA from 1 species
GGAGUGAAGAAUCUCUGGAUUAGUGGCGGACGGGUGAGUAACGCGUGAGCAAUCUGCCUUACACAAAGGGAUAGCCUCGGGAAACCGGGAUUAAUACCAUAUGAUAUCUAUUAACCGCAUGGUUUAUAGAUUAGAGAAUUUCGGUGUAAGAUGAGCUCGCGUCCCAUUAAUUAGUUGGUGAGGGUAACGGCCCACCAAGAUAGCGAUGGGUAGCCGAUCUAAGAGGAUGACCGGCCACAUUGGAACUGAGAAACGGUCCAAACUCCUACGGGAGGCAGCAGUGGGGAAUAUUGCACAAUGGGGGAAACCCUGAUGCAGCGACGCCGCGUGAGCGAUGAAGGCUUUCGAGUCGUAAAGCUCUGUCCUAUGGGAAGAUAAUGACGGU